rnacentral:rRNA from 1 species
AUGAAGCUCCACGACGCGCUCAUCCGGGCGCUCUCGAGCUCCGGAUGGCCGCUCGCCGCGCUCCCGCUCUAUGCCCACCUCCUCCGCGCGGGCCUCCUCCCCAUCCCGCACACCCUCCCCUCUCUCCUCAAGUCGCUCGCCCUCUCCCCCGCCGUCCCCGGCGCGCAUCGCCUCGCGCUUGCCGUCCACGCCCGCGCUAUCAGGCUCGCCCUCACGGGGUUCCUCCUCGUGAACAACGCGCUCAUCCGCGCAAGCCUGCUCGGCCGCCUAUCCAAGCGCAUCUUCUGCUGCGCACCUUCUGCUGCGCACCUUGGCAACACGCUCCUCACGGCGCACGCGAGGGUUGGGCGAGUCGCGGACGCUCGCUCGCUGUUCGACGAAAUGCCUGCUAGGGAUGGUGUGUCUUGGAGCGCUAUGGUGAAUGGGUUCGUGCACACACACUGGGUUGGUUGA